AGGGAGAGGAACCAGGAAGAUCCAAGGUCAGAGAAGUCUCAGUGCUGGAUCCGACUCUGGCAACACCACAAUCACACAUGCCUCUUCUCUUGCAGCCUCCAACACAGCCCCAUCCGUCUUCCCCAUGGCGCCCUGUGGGGCCACAACCGGCUCCACAGUGGCCCUGGGCUGCCUGGUCAAGGACUACUUCCCUGAGCCCGUGACUGUGACAUGGAACUCAGGCGCCCUGACCAGCGGCGUGCACGACUUCCCACCAGUCCUGCUGUCGGGGCUCUACUCCAAGAGCAGCAUGGUGACCGUGCCUGCCGGCAACUUGCGCAGUCAGACUUUCACCUGCAAUGUAGCUCACACGGCCAGCGGCACCAAGGUGGACAAGAAAGUUGGUGAGAGGACAGCCCGGUCCACUCAUUCUACCACAGACUGUCCAGAGUGUCCCAAGUGCUCAAGUAAGUCAGCCGGGUCCUAGCCCUCCAAGGAGGGGAAUGAGGGCCCCAGAGCAGCUCGAGUCAAAUGGCAGGCCCUACCCCAGGGGCUGACAUGGUCCCCCCGUUUCCCCCCACCAGUUUCUGACGCCCUGCUGGGAGGACCGUCAGUCUUCAUCUUCCCCCCAAGACCCAAGGACACCCUCAUGAUCACCAAGACCCCUAAGGUCACAUGCGUGGUGGUAGACAUGAGCCAAGAUGAUCCCGAGCCCGAGUUCGACUGGUACGUGGACAACAUGAAGGUGGACACAGCCCAGACAAAGCCACGGGAGGAGCAGUUCAACAGCACGUACCGCAUGGUCAGUGAACUCCCUGUCCAGCACCAGGACUGGCUGGAUGGCAAGGAGUUCAAGUGCAAUGUCUACGGCAAAACCCUCCCAGCCCCCAUCGAGAGAACCAUCUCCAAGGCCAAAGGGCAGCCCCGUGAACCACAGGUGUACGUCAUGCCCCCAUCCCAGGAGGAAAUGAGCCAGAACAAGGUCAGCCUAACCUGCCUGAUCACUGGCUUCUACCCUUCAGACAUCAAUGUUGAGUGGGAAAGCCAUGGACAGGUGGAGGAAGACUCCAAGAAUACCCCGCCUGUGCCAGACAGCGAUGGCAGCUUCUUCCUCUACAGCAAGGUCUCUGUGGACAAGAAAAGAUGGGAAGAGGGGAAAUCAUUCACGUGCUACGUGAUGCAUGAGGCUCUGAACAACCACCACACGCAGAAGUCUCUCUCCCGGUCUCCGGAGCUGCACCUGGACGAGAGCUGUGCCCAGGCCCAGGACGGGGAGCUGGAUGGACUGUGGACCACCAUCACCAUCUUCAUCACACUCUUCCUGCUGAGCGUGUGCUACAGUGCUACCGUCACCUUCUUCAAGGUGAAGUGGAUCUUCUCCUCCAUGGUAGACCUGAAGCAGACAAUCAUCCCCGACUACAGGAACAUGAUUGGGCAGGGGGCCUAAGGCCACCCUCGGCAUGGAUGUCCAGGGCCACCUAGGCCCCCUACAGCCGCCUGCACACCACGCUCAGCUGCCAUACAGGCCGCAUCUGCCCUCUGACCACACUGCCCU